rnacentral:rRNA from 1 species
UAAGACGAAGGGGGCUAGCGUUGUUCGGAAUUACUGGGCGUAAAGCGCGUGUAGGCGGUUAUCCAAGUCGGGUGUGAAAGCCUUGAGCUCAACUCAAGAAAUGCACUCGGUACUGGGUGACUAGAGGACCGGAGAGGAUAGUGGAAUUCCCAGUGUAGUGGUGAAAUACGUAGAGAUUGGGAAGAACACCAGUGGCGAAGGCGGCUAUCUGGACGGUUUCU